rnacentral:rRNA from 1 species
AAUCAACGCUGGCGGCGUGCCUAACACAUGCAAGUCGAACGGGAAAGCACUUUUCGGAGUGUGAGUAGAGUGGCGAACGGGUGAGUAACGCGUGGGUGAUCUACCCUUUGGUGGGGGAUAACUCCGCGAAAGCGGAGCUAAUACCGCAUGAGCCUGAGUUUGUAAGCGAACUUAGGGAAAGCUUUUGGGUGCCGAAGGAGGAGCCCGCGUCCGAUUAGCUAGUUGGUGGGGUAAGAGCUUACCAAGGCGACGAUCGGUAGCCGGUCUGAGAGGACGGACGGUCACACUGGGACUGAGACACGGCCCAGACUCCUACGGGAGGCAGCAGUGGGGAAUUUUGGGCAAUGGGCGCAAGCCUGACCCAGCAACGCCGCGUGGAGGACGAAGGUUUUCGGAUCGUAAACUCCUGUCUAGAGGGACGAAGAAGAUGACGGUACCUCUGGAGGAAGCCCCGGCUAACUCCGUG